rnacentral:rRNA from 1 species
CGGCACGGGUGAGUAACACGUAUCCAACCUGCCGUCUACUCUUGGCCAGCCUUCUGAAAGGAAGAUUAAUCCAGGAUGGCAUCAUGAGUUCACAUGUCCGCAUGAUUAAAGGUAUUUUCCGGUAGACGAUGGGGAUGCGUUCCAUUAGAUAGUAGGCGGGGUAACGGCCCACCAAACCGACGAUGGAUAGGGGUUCUGAGAGGAAGGUCCCCCACAUUGGUACUGAGACACGGACCAA